GAUGAACGCUGGCGGCGUGCUUAACACAUGCAAGUCGAACGGAAAGGCUCCUGCUUGCCGGGGUACUCGAGUGGCGAACGGGUGAGUAACACGUGGGUGUACUGCCCUGCACUUCGGGAUAAGCCUUGGAAACUGGGUCUAAUACCGGAUAGGACCGCAUUUUGGACGGUGUGGUGGAAAGUUUUUUCGGUGUGGGAUGAGCUCGCGGGCUAUCCGCUUGUUGGUGGGGGAUUGGCCUACCAAGGCCUCGCCGGGUAGCCGGCCUGUGAGGGUGUACGGCCACAAUGGUACUGAGGUACGGCCCAGACGCCUACGUGAGGCAGCAGUGGAGAAUAUUGCACAAUGGGGGCAAGCCUGAUGCGGCGACGCCGCGUGGGGGAUGACGGCCUUCGGGUUGUAAACAACUUUCGCUAGAGACGAAGAGUAAUUGACGGUACCUAGAGAAGAAGCACCGGCUAACUACGUG
rnacentral:rRNA from 1 species